rnacentral:tRNA from 1 species
GGCUUGGUAGCUCAGUUGGUAGAGCACUUGAUUGAAGCUCAAGGUGUCGGCAGUUCGAUUCNGGUCGUAGGUUCAAAUCCUGCCCCCGCAA